CUGCACCCUCUGUGAAAAGUUGUGCGGAUGCUAGAAAUGAAACGGAGAACACGGACAAUCAAGAGAUAGCAGAGAAAUUACAUCCGCAUCCUCUGGUGACUCAACGGACUAAGUCUGUCUGUUAUUAACACAGCUGCUUGCAAUUACUGCAAGUUCAAGUCCCACCAGGCCCAAGGUUGACUGAGCCUUCCAUCCUUUAUCAGCCAUCUUGAACCAAUUGGGAUAUUCUCCUGAUGGAGCUGAGGCUGACCCUCACACUCCUGACUUUCCCGAACAGUCUUAAACCUGGUCUCUAUUGGCUGACCAGAUAGGGACACUCUAG